UUUUGAUAUUUGCCUCGGAAUGCCAAUGGGAACUGCACAAAAGAUUUCUUGCGUACUUUCCAAUACUACGUGCAAUAAAAUGGCUCGGGGUUGCUGCCAAUUUCUGCCGUGCAAAUGAGUACCAGCAUUUCCCAGGGUUUCAAGACCUUGACUUUAAUUUUUGAAGACUCAAAGACUUUGAGGCAUGCAUUGAAGCAGCGUGUGCACCACAUUGUGUAGAUAAAAAGCGAACAACAAUAUAAACCCGGAAUGAAAGUUAUAUUUUCGGCGCGGAAGGAGACAAAAUGGAGAAUAAUGUAUUGCAGAGAGCUCUGUCUGGAAAUUCCGGAAUAUACCUGACUGACCAGUAGCGAACAGUGCAGACCUUGACGAGACGGCACUGCCGAAAGUUUCGGACUGACCUUGAUCUGCGCAGGGUCCCGACAUGUGCAGAAUACUAGCCUUCAGCAAGAUCCUUCCGAAUCAUAGCUUCCAGCACGUUAGUAUUGAAGGCUGAAUACCGCUUGGUGGUGCUAGCGGGUCGUAAAAGAUGAUACACACUUACAUUAUAUCUCAUGAACAGAUUCAAUCAAACCGAGUCUGCAAUAUUCAUAUAAUAUUGUGAUUAAACUGCUUUAAAGGAAUCACUCAUUUUUCCAGAUUUUGAUAACAUCAUUUUAUUAAAUGGUAUUUUGCUACCUGAUUAAAAUAAUUGAGAAAAUUAAAGAACAGAACAACAGAACAUGCAUUUAUUAUCAAACUUGAACAUUUCGUGCCUUAUCUAUAACAUGAUUAAACAUUAUUGUGUCAAAGUCAUAUAAUAUUUAAAAUAUAUACAUUAUUGAAAAUAACAGUUGAAUACAUGACAAAUGAAGGUAUAAAAUAUUCAUAUUUAUAAAUAAAUUGUCAUAUA